UACGGAGGGCGCAAGCGUUGUUCGGAAUUACUGGGCGGAAAGCGCGCGUCGGCGGUCUGGUAAGUCGGUUGUGAAAUCCCCGGGCUCAACCCGGGAACUGCAUCCGAAACUGCUGGGCUAGAGUUCCGGAGAGGAAGGCAGAAUUCCCAAUGUAGGGGUGAAAUCCGUAGAUAUUGGGAGGAAUACCAGUGGCGAAGGCGGCCUUCUGGACGGUGACUGACGCUGAGACGCGAAAGCGUGGGGAGCAAACAGG
rnacentral:rRNA from 1 species